rnacentral:rRNA from 1 species
ACCCUGGCUGAACUUAAGCAUAUCAAUAAGCGGAGGAAAAGAAACCAACAGGGAUUCCCUUUAGUAACGGCGAGUGAAGCGGGAAUAGCUCAAAUUUGAAAUCUGGCUCUUUCAGAGUCCGAGUUGUAAUUUGCAGAGGGCGCUUUGGCUUUGGCAGCGGUCCAAGUUCCUUGGAACAGGACGUCACAGAGGGUGAGAAUCCCGUACGUGGUCGCUAGCUAUUGCCGUGUAAAGCCCCUUCGACGAGUCGAGUUGUUUGGGAAUGCAGCUCUAAAUGGGAGGUAAAUUUCUUCUAAAGCUAAAUAUUGGCCAGAGACCGAUAGCGCACAAGUAGAGUGAUCGAAAGAUGAAAAGCACUUUGGAAAGAGAGUCAAACAGCACGUGAAAUUGUUGAAAGGGAAGCGCUUGCAGCCAGACUUGCUUGCAGUUGCUCAUCCGGGCUUUUGCCCGGUGCACUCUUCUGCAGGCAGGCCAGCAUCAGUUUGGGCGGUGGGAUAAAGGUCUCUGUCACGUACCUUCCUUCGGGUUGGCCAUAUAGGGGAGACGUCAUACCACCAGCCUGGACUGAGGUCCGCGCAUCUGCUAGGAUGCUGGCGUAAUGGCUGUAAGCGGCCCGUCUUGAAACACGGACCAAGGAGUCUAACAUCUAUGCGAGUGUUUGGGUGUCAAGCCCGAGCGCGUAAUGAAAGUGAACGGAGGUGGGAACCCGCAAGGGCGCACCAUCGACCGAUCCUGAAGUUUACGGAAGGAUUUGAGUAAGAGCAUGGCUGUUGGGACCCGAAAGAUGGUGAACUAUGCUUGAAUAGGGUGAAGCCAGAGGAAACUCUGGUGGAGGCUCGCAGCGGUUCUGACGUGCAAAUCGAUCGUCAAAUUUGGGCAUAGGGGCGAAAGACUAAUCGAAACUUCCCAGUUCCUA